rnacentral:rRNA from 1 species
AGGAAAGAACCAACAGGGAUUGCCUUAGUAACGGCGAGUGAAGCGGCAACAGCUCAAAUUUGAAAUCUGGCUCCUUUUGGGGUCCGAGUUGUAAUUUGUAGAGGGUGCUUCGGCAUUGGCCUUGGUCUAAGUUCUUUGGAACAAGACGUCACAGAGGGUGAGAGUCCCGUACGUGGCCAAUGGUCUUUGCCAUGUGAAGCCCCUUCGACGAGUCGAGUUGUUUGGGAAUGCAGCUCUAAAUGGGAGGUAAAUUUCUUCUAAAGCUAAAUAUUGGCCAGAGACCGAUAGCGCACAAGUAGAGUGAUCGAAAGAUGAAAAGCACUUUGGAAAGAGAGUCAAAAAGCACGUGAAAUUGUUGAAAGGGAAGCGCUUACAGCCAGACUUGCCUGCAGUUGCUCAUCUAGGCAUUGCCUAGUGCACUCUUCUGUAGGCAGGCCAGCAUCAGUUUGGGCGGCCAGAUAAAGGCCUUGGGAAUGUAGCUCUCCCCGGAGAGUGUUAUAGCCCAGGGUGCCAUGUGGCCAGCCUGGACUGAGGUCCGCGCUUCGGCUAGGAUGCUGGCGUAAUGGCGGUAAGCGGCCCGUCUUGAAACACGGACCAAGGAGUCUAACAUCUAUGCGAGUGUUUGGGUGUCAAGCCCGGACGCGGAAUGAAAGUGAACGGAGGUGGGAACCUUUUAGGUGCACCAUCGACCGAUCCUGAUGUCUUCGGAUGGAUUUGAGUAAGAGCAUAGCUGUUGGGACCCGAAAGAUGGUGAACUAUGCCUGAAUAGGGUGAAGCCAGAGGAAACUCUGGUGGAGGCUCGCAGCGGUUCUGACGUGCAAAUCGAUCGUCAAAUUUGGGCAUAGGGGCGAAAGACUAUCGANAUAUCU